CCGAUUUGUGUAUCGACUACGACACUGCAUUGUGUUCAACAUUCGGCCGUCUUAACCCAGACGCAUGCAAAGAACAAAUAGUACUGAAUAGAUGCCCAUCGUCCUGCGCUACUUGUGCUCAUGUUGUAUGGGGCUCGUGGCAACCAUGGAGUAGCUGUUCGGCUCGUUGUGGGCUAGGUACAAGGAAACGGUCGAGAACAUGUCAUCGGCGUUUCAACUUUGUUGGGACUUGUGCUGGACCCUCGGUUAGCAGUUCGGCCUGUGAAGGACAGUACUGUCAAGUGAACGGUGGAUGGUGUUAUGAGACAUAUGACGACUGCAAAGAGGUCGGCACUUCAUGGCAAUUUCCUUUAGAAUGUACAAAAAGAAUUCACAAAACCACAUGUUCUUGUCCAUCGCCUCGAAACGGUGGUCUCCCAUGCAAAUAGAUUCGUAAAACAAUCGAGAUGUAAAUUUCAUCGUGUAAUGUUCAUAUCUUGGCGAUAUAAAGAAGGAAUAUUAAAUAUGAUAAUUCCUCUAUUGAUUAAAAAUAUAUU